UACAUAGGUCUCAAGCGUUGUUCGGAUUCAUUGGGCGUAAAGGGUGUGUAGGCGGCGCCGUAAGUCGGGUGUGAAAUUUCGGAGCUUAACUCCGAAACUGCAUUCGAUACUGCGGUGCUUGAGGACUGGAGAGGAGACUGGAAUUCAUGGUGUAGCAGUGAAAUGCGUAUAGAUCAUGAGGAAGACCAAUGGCGAAGGCGGGUCUCUGGACAGUUCCUGACACUGAGACGCGAAGGCCAGGGGAGCAAACGGG
rnacentral:rRNA from 1 species